rnacentral:rRNA from 1 species
UACGUAGGGUGCAAGCGUUGUCCGGAAUUAUUGGGCGUAAAGAGCUCGUAGGCGGUUUGUCGCGUCUGCUGUGAAAUCUGGGGGCUCAACCCCCAGCCUGCAGUGGGUACGGGCAGACUAGAGUGCGGUAGGGGAGAUUGGAAUUCCUGGUGUAGCGGUGGAAUGCGCAGAUAUCAGGAGGAACACCGGUGGCGAAGGCGGGAUCCUGGGCCAGUACUGACGCUGAGGAGCGAAAGCGUGGGGAGCAAACAGG